UCCCUAGUGUCCCAGUUGGUAAAGAAUCUGCCUGCAAUGCAGGAGACCUGGGUUCAAUUCCCAGUGGGGAA
rnacentral:tRNA from 1 species